GAUUUGGGCAUCUCUCAGUUCGGAUAUACUAUAAAAACCUAAUUGAGAUCAUAAUCUCAAUACCCUAUUGACGUUUCUCUAAAACCCUAGCCACCAUGUUCCUCCUUCUUCUUUACGAUUCAACUCAAUAGCAACCGUGAUCCUCUUUUUUCUUAGUUGUUCUACGAUUCAAACCCUAAAUCGAUUUCCCCAUUCAUCUUUUUCAUAUAUACAAUCAAUGUCGUCGAUCAAUUGAAUGGUUGAAGAAAAUACUAGGUGCCUCUACUUUCAGUUUCUCUCUCAAAACACUAGAUCAACGAGUGCAAGUUCGUGUUCUUCACUUUCAUAUUGAUCAAUCAAGAACAUAGAAGAAUGAAGGUGUGUUUGUGUGACGGCUGAAUCUGAUACAAUUUUAGGGUUAAGCAUGAAGGAGAGGAAGAAGAAAGAUGAACUGUUAAGUUUUGAAGACUUUCGCGGGACUUGGGAGUAGCUUGAAGCCAAUCACUGGUCGACUCGAAGCCUCGAGUAAAUGUGGGGUUGGAAAAUCGAGUUCUUUUUAAUUGGAUAACAAUUGAUAAACUUGGUCUACACAUUCAACAAGCUAUGAUAAGUUGCUCCAACGGAUUUGCUCUCGAUAUCUUCUGGGCUGAAAUUGCAAUAUAUAUCGUAUUUAUUUGUUAUUGAUUUAUUUUGUGAUUUUGAUUGUGGGUUUUUGUUUUUGAAGCAAUGCUAAGAGGGGCGAGAUGUUCAUCUUGAUCAGGUUAACAGUGCUGCUGGAGUGUGCAGGGCUUAAGUGCAAGUGUGAAAGUGAAGGGAUUAAUGCUUGGCUAUCUUAGUAAAGACAAAGUGCUGAAACAACAGGUCACCAAGAUAACUGUUGGGAUUGUUACAAGGAGACCUUUGGUGUUGCAAUUGCACAAGACAGAGGGCAGACAAGAGGAGUACGCAGGACACAUUGUGCUUGCACGAACUUAUGAUAAAGGCAUUGAAUAAGCAACUUCUGAAGAUGGAUGCAAAUGGGGUAAUGUCAUGAAGAAAAGCUGUUGUUGUAGUCCAAUUAUCUCACUAUUGUACAGGAAUGAUUUUUUGAAGAGUGUGGUACUAGAUUUUACAAGCAAAACAUGAUGAAAUUGAUAGCCUGGCCCACAAGCAGGUUUGAUGGAUCCUCUAUAACAUGGUAAGAUCCUAAGUAGCUCAACUUGGGUUUUUUUAUGGUUUAAAUUUUGGGCCUUCUCUUGGAUGUUAUGGGUAAAUUAAAAUAGUCAAAAGUCUGACCCCGAUUUGUACAAAAUUUGUAUAUUCUGACCCGUUAACAGUUAGACAUGUUUACUCUUGAUUUUUUUUUUCUUCUACAUGAGUAAAUUGUGAAGAUACAAUAGAUGUUGUUAUAUACGUAUUUGAAAAACUAAAAUUUAUGUUUUAUCUUAUGCAUUUAUGGUAUUUCAAUUUAUCCUAUGCAUUUGUUGUGCCAUUUCUUUUUUAUUAAGCAACUACAACAACUUUGGUAAAGAAAGUGAAACAUGGUUGACCAAAUUGUAAUCAAACUAAUAGAGUCAGAGUGUUUCGUGUCAGAUUAUGUCGGGUUAAUAGUUACAAUAGUUUUGGAUUCUUGCUUAAUUAUAAGUAAAGUUUAGUUUGAAGUACAACUCAGUUACGGGUAAAUUGACAUAUUUGAAUUGGAUAUAACAUAUUAUAUUUGAUUAUUUCCACUUUUUUUUAGGCUAUCAACAAUUUAUCAAAGACAAAGCAUAAGGAUCUAGUUAAAAAGGUUAUGUAUCUUUGACAAGUAUGUGUAGCCUACCAAAGUACCAAUAAUGAACUAUGCUACUUUCGUUGAUCUUAUUAAGCUUAAUGACGGUGGUUCGUUGAUUCACUCGGCUGCAAAUCUACCUAACCCAGUCAAUUUUGGGUUGUCGAACUAUUCAUGUUGGGGCUUCGGUGGUGCAAAUAUGCCUAACACAGGCCCUGAUUCACCCUACACUAAUGACCAAAUGAGGGUUGUCUUCAAGUUGAUUGUAUCUUCCUUUGAGGAUUUAUCUGACUGGUCUAGCCGAUCUUACAACAAGCGAGCCUCAAUUCUUGAAACUGUUUCCAAAGUUAGAUGAUGUGUCAUAAUGCUCGAUCUUGAAUGUGAUAAGCUUAUCGUGAAAAUGUUUGAUCAUUUUCAAAAUGCAGUAAGAGAUGAGGUGGUUAUCGGCAGUUAUAUCGCAAAGAGGAGUCUACUUGAUGUUGUUUUGGUUGUCUCAUGCGAUUGUAGCGUGGGUGACAUCUUAUACAUGUUAUUACAAUGGAAUUCCACUUGAUGCCAGCAAUGUAUUCACAUUUCUGGCAACGAUUCAAAUCAUUCAAGAGCCAAUUCGUCUUGUUGCUGAUACUGCAGCCGUGUUUAUAGAAGCAAGGGUGGCGCUAACGCGUAUUCUUCAGUUUUUGGAGGCACCCGAGUUGCAAAAAGAACGAAAGAAUCAUGUAAACGUUGGACACCAAUCGCUAAUAUCAACUCUGACGCUGGUCUCUUAGAACAUUCGACAGAUGCGAAUAUGCAAGGACAAAGAGGCGAAGCCUCAAGUGUGGGAAUAUGUCGAACCUUUAAAAGGGUAUGGCGGUUGAAUCUUUACACCAUAGAAGAUGAAGGCCCUGGUUUGGGUUAUGGUACUGAGAUUGAAGGCCCUGGAGUUGUAUCGCAUGGAUCAAUUUAUUAGUGCUACAUGCUGGACGCUGAUGUACCUGCCUCUUGGUUCCAAAUAUUGCCUCAUUCAGUUGCGAGUCAAGAACUGGAUGCAUCAGAGUCCGUGGAUUGCUGCUAUGUUACUGCUGGUAUGUGGGUUAUAAUCUGCAAAUGAAGGACACUCUGAGGUACUGUAGAUACUUUGAGUUGUGUGAUCUUAUUGUGAAACUGGUCCAGCAAGGUGUGAUGAUUUUUAAGCGGCAAGGUUCUGCUGGUCUGUUAUAUGGUCUGCAUUAUGUCUUGGCUUGGGUUGUGCUCUUAUUCUGGAAUGGCCAUCAGUCUGGGCUCAAUUACUUCGGUUCCGGUGUGGCGGGUUCUAUGCUGUGGAAGGCCCACUAUGGGAUGGGUUUUAAGCAACAGUUGCUGAUGAUGACAAGAGCCCACAUAAUCAGCUGGGGGCAUGGUUUCUUGCGUUUACUGAAGGCCCAAAACUGGCCUGAUUGUCCUACAAAAAGAACAAAGUUUGGGAUUUCCGAAAGUGGUUUGAUUUUCAAGCUAAGGCCCAAUACAAGGUUCUUAUUGUGAAGACCAGGCCCCACCUUCUGUCACACCCUGACUUUUGCGGAAGCGUGAUUAUUGGUGUGACUUUCUUAAUACCAUAGCAUUCAAUCAUAACAACGCUAUAUGAUAAAACCAGUAAAUGUUCAUCCAUAAAUUAAGUUUGAAAAUGUCACAACAUAAUUGUUUGAAACAUCGACACCAAAUUCAAAUUACAAACCACAACAAGUUUCAAUGAGUUCACGAAGACUCGACAAAAGAUCUUAAAUAAACCUGAGUUUAGAACCAUG